UACGUAGGUGGCAAGCGUUGUCCGGAUUUACUGGGCGUAAAGAGCGCGCAGGCGGUCGUUCAAGUCGCGUGUGAAAGCCCCCGGCUCAACUGGGGAGGGUCACGCGAUACUGAUCGACUCGAAGGCAGGAGAGGGAAGUGGAAUUCCCGGUGUAGAGGUGAAAUUCGUAGAUAUCGGGAGGAACACCAGUGGCGAAGGCGGCUCUCUGGGCAGAUACUGACACUGAGACGCGAAAGCGUGGGUAGCAAACAGG
rnacentral:rRNA from 1 species